CUUGAGGAGUGGCUUCCGGAGCUAACGCGUUAAGUCGACCGCCUGGGGAGUACGGCCGCAAGGUUAAAACUCAAAUGAAUUGACGGGGGCCCGCACAAGCGGUGGAGCAUGUGGUUUAAUUCGAUGCAACGCGAAGAACCUUACCUACUCUUGACAUCCACAGAACUUAGCAGAGAUGCUUUGGUGCCUUCGGGAACUCUGAGACAGGUGCUGCAUGGCUGUCGUCAGCUCGUGUUGUGAAAUGUUGGGUUAAGUCCCGCAACGAGCGCAACCCUUAUCCUUUGUUGCCAGCGAUUCGGUCGGGAACUCAAAGGAGACUGCCGGUGAUAAACCGGAGGAAGGUGGGGAUGACGUCAAGUCAUCAUGGCCCUUACGAGUAGGGCUACACACGUGCUACAAUGGCGCAUACAAAGAGAAGCGACCUCGCGAGAGCAAGCGGACCUCAUAAAGUGCGUCGUAGUCCGGAUCGGAGUCUGCAACUCGACUCCGUGAAGUCGGAAUCGCUAGUAAUCGUGGAUCAGAAUGCCACGGUGAAUACGUUCCCGGGCCUUGUACACACCGCCCGUCACACCAUGGGAGUGGGUUGCAAAAGAAGUAGGUAGCUUAACCUUCGGGAGGGCGCUUACCACUUUGUGAUUCAUGACUGGGGUGAAGUC
rnacentral:rRNA from 1 species